GACGAACGCUGGCGGCGUGCUUAACACAUGCAAGUCGAGCGGUAAGGCCCUUUCGGGGGUACACGAGCGGCGAACGGGUGAGUAACACGUGGGUGACCUGCCCUUAGCUCUGGGAUAAGCCUGGGAAACUGGGUCUAAUACCGGAUAUGACUCCAUAACGCAUGUUGUGGGGUGGAAAGCCUUGUGCGGCUAGGGGAUGGGGCCCGCGGCCGUAUCAGCUUGUUGGGUGGGGUGAUGGCCUACCAAGGCGACGACGGGUAGCCGGCCUGAGA
rnacentral:rRNA from 1 species